GUGGUCACCGAAAAGUCUGAACAGAUCAACUACCGAGAGUCCUGAGGUCAGGGUUUAGCAUCUUGGCGGUUGACAACUAGUGCGGUGGGGAUUGUCAGUGAAUGCGGCGUCUUGUUCGGGUUUUCGAGUAAUUUGGAGCUCAAAGUCGAGGAACCAUUAAGGGAGGUCAGUAUACGUGUGUAUCUGACCUGGUUUGGUGUUAGUCGGGUGGGGGGUGAGGUGGGUAAUGGUCACUGUCUUUCGUGCAGAAAUGCGUGACGCAGAAGGCUUGGAGGCUCCGGAACCCUGGUAGGUUCGUGUGUUUAGCUCAGACUUUGGCUAAUGAACUUAACAUUCCCCGAAAACUUCAGGUCCAAGUCCCUGGACCCACCAGUUUUCUAGUCCCUUUAAAUUUUGUCUUUAUUCUUCUUCCUGCAAGUUGGCUCCCGUAUUCAUUUCCCCAGUAUUUAUAUUUUUGAAUUGUUUUUAUAUUUGUAUUUAUAGCUCAUA
rnacentral:lncRNA from 1 species